rnacentral:piRNA from 1 species
GUGAGUUUAAUUAAGUCAAAGUAGAUUUG